AAUAGAUACCCUGGUAGUCCACGCCGUAAACGAUGAGUGCUAAGUGUUAGAGGGUUUCCGCCCUUUAGUGCUGCAGCUAACGCAUUAAGCACUCCGCCUGGGGAGUACGGUCGCAAGACUGAAACUCAAAGGAAUUGACGGGGGCCCGCACAAGCGGUGGAGCAUGUGGUUUAAUUCGAAGCAACGCGAAGAACCUUACCAGGUCUUGACAUCCCACUGACCGGUAUAGAGAUAUACCUUUCCCUUCGGGGACAGUGGUGACAGGUGGUGCAUGGUUGUCGUCAGCUCGUGUCGUGAAAUGUUGGGUUAAGUCCCGCAACGAGCGCAACCCUUGAUCUUAGUUGCCAGCAUUUAGUUGGGCACUCUAAGGUGACUGCCGGUGACAAACCGGAGGAAGGUGGGGAUGACGUCAAAUCAUCAUGCCCCUUAUGACCUGGGCUACACACGUGCUACAAUGGAUGGUACAAAGGGCUGCAAGACUGCGAAGUCAAGCCAAUCCCAUAAAACCAUUCUCAGUUCGGAUUGCAGG
rnacentral:rRNA from 1 species